UAACGUAGCGAAAGUUACGCUAAUACCGCAUAUUCUGUGAGCAGGAAAGCAGGGGAUCGCAAGACCUUGCGCUGAUUGAGCGGCCGAUAUCAGAUUAGCUAGUUGGUGAGGUAAAGGCUCACCAAGGCGACGAUCUGUAGCGGGUCUGAGAGGAUGAUCCGCCACACUGGAACUGAGACACGGUCCAGACUCCUACGGGAGGCAGCAGUGGGGAAUUUUGGACAAUGGGCGCAAGCCUGAUCCAGCCAUGCCGCGUGAGUGAAGAAGGCCUUCGGGUUGUAAAGCUCUUUCGGCCGGGAAGAAAUCACACAGGUUAAUACCCUGUGUGGAUGACGGUACCGGAAUAAGAAGCACCGGCUAACUACGUG
rnacentral:rRNA from 1 species